UAUACAGUAGUGAAUACUAUUGUACCACUGUAUAGUAGGUAGCAUCAUCAGUGCUGUUUGCUGUCGGUUUAUUUCAAAGGGGAUUUGUUUGCAGAUCCAGAUUGGUUGCAUAGAAAUGAAAAAAAACAAAAAACAGAUGAUUCCCAUUAGGCAGAAACGCGGUUCAUCUCAUCAAGCGGGAGAUUAUUUUCUAUGGAGUUACAAGAGGAGAAAUCGCUACGCAGGACGGAAAGGCGAUAGCAUCGGGGAGUUGCGACGGGUAGAAUGCCUUUGAAAAUGGAGGUUCUGAUCAUCUAACGCAGCGAUUCCCCCCCCAGAGACUGCCUGGGUAACGUGUUUUGCAAUAUAAGUGACCACCUGCAUGCUUCCAGCUGGGUUGGAAAGCAAUAGAUAAUCUGCGAGCUACACAAUCGCAUCCCGUUGCUCAGAUCCACCACCUUUUGUUUGGCUCCCUCCCUGAACCAGUCACCCAGCCCCAUUGUUGCACAGCAGAGCGGAUCAUUUGCAGCCAGCCGAGGACGGCAUCCUGCUUAAUUGCACAGGGAAGGUUUGGAAACAGCUGAGAUGGGAGGGCACCUCCGGUUUUCCAAACACGGGAUCUGAAGGAGAAGAUCUUUGGAUGUAAGUCGCCAAAGUUCAGGAGCAAGCAAAGGAAGAUCCCACUGCAGAGACAAUGGAAACUGAGUGAAGGCAAAGCAUAGUCUCUGGCUUCUUGUGAUCUCAAAAUCCAUCCCCCAGCCCUCCUGCCACGGACACCUGAAGGCCGCAAGCUCCACAGCUCUUUGGAGGUAUCUGUACCAAGAGACAUGUCUGGAAAGAAGAAGCUCACAAGGCUGGUAGCUGAAAUUCUUCAAGAACUCCAAAGAGCUUUGGCUUAUUUCUUAAUUGUUUACACUUUACUGUUAGGAGGCUUCAUUUGUGCCGGUCUGAUAUACCAGAUCUUAGCCUCUGAGUAAGGGCCGAGCCCAAAGUAUGCUUAAUGGAGAUGGCAAUGAAUUAAUGGAGAAAGUGCACAGCCUUCUUUCCCCGUUCGUAAUGAAAACAAGCACAUCUGUAACUUGGGACGUUUCCAGAUGAAAGUCCAGGUCCCUAAUGAUUGCCUGACACCGCAGCUGGACAAUUGCCAUUCCGAUGUUUCCCAGCACAUCCCUGUGACUGUUAUCGCCUCUCCUCCAACGAGAGAAGCCUGCUUAGGUGUGGUAAUGUUUUGCUGCCAGGAGUUCCAGUGGACAUUCUGUGCUGUUAAGAAGGUGGGGUGGGGAGAGAGUUUCACAUAUCCUGCCUCUUGCACUUAGCCUCACGGUGACGUUUAAAGGCCGUGAUGCUUUGCCACCACGGCCAGCAAAAAUGUUAGGGAUUCACCAUGAUUUAUUUUGUUUAACGGGAGAAAGCAACAAUGAGUGAUGGGAGGCUUUGGUUCCUGGGUAGUAGGUAAGGCCUGCCAUUCUCUGGGCUCAACUGACAGGGAGAGAGCUCCUUUGCUGCCUGUCAAUUCUCUGUGAGAGCUUCAGGCUGACAAGUCAUUCCAUUCAGGUCCAUCCUGACCAUUUUCAGGUGGAAUUGGAGGGGGUGGUGGGGGGGCAGAAACGGGGACCUUUUGGACAUUCCUAGAGAGGCCAUGAAUGAAAUGACAAAACGGAGCUAAAUUAUAACAUCAAUUUACUCAACUGUUGUUCUGUUUCAGAACAUUAGGGAGGUUUUAAGGCCAGGAUAUGCCCUGGACUUCCAAAUUGAUGCCACCCCAGGGAGGCCUUUCUCUCUGAUAACCAACCAUUUGAUUUCUAAUGACAAGGAAAUCCAUCACAAAACUUGACUAAAGGUCUAUAUAACCUAUAACCAUGAUGGUGAACCUAUGGCAUGCGUGCCACCUGUGGCACGUGGAGCCAUAUCGGUAGGCACAUGGCUCAGUUCCGGCGCAUACCCGGAAGUAGGGAAAUAGUCUGUUUCCUGCCUCCGGAGGGCCUGUGGGGGUGGGGAAGGCACAUUUUUUGCUCUCCCUAGGCUCCUAGAGAGGCUCUGGAGCCUGGGGAGAGCAAAAAACGGGCCUACUGGGCCCACUGUGCCAUUGCGUGCCAAAAGUGGGGGAAGCGCGGGGGGUCGCGCAUGCAUACGUUGAGGGUGGGACACAUAGAAUUAUGGGUGUGGGCAUGCAUGCACACGACCCCCCCCCACGCUCCCCCACUUUUGGCACGCAAUAGUAAAAAGGUUAGCCAUCACUGACCUAUAAUAACCUGGCUAGUUGGCUCAGUGGCUAAGACGCUGAGCUUGUCAAUCAGAAAGGUCGGCAGUUCGGUGGUUCGAAUCCCUAGUAUAGGUCUCCUGCGUGAGCAGGGGGUUGGACUAGAUGACCUCCAAGGUCCCAACUCUGUUACUGUUACUGUCUUGCCUCUGGGGAAAGGUUAUAUGAGAUAAUCUCGUUCCCUUUGCCAUCUCCUUUUUACUAAAAGUCACAUGGUACUGUUUAGAACAGUGUUUCUCAAUGUUGACAGCUUGAAGACGUGUGGAUAGCCAGCAUGGGGAAUUUGGGGAGUUGAAGUCCACACAUCUACCAGCUACCAAGGUUGAGAAACACUGAUUUAAUAUCAUUAGCUAAUUGGCAAGGUUCUUUUGAUUGAUUGAUGGAUUGGAUUGGAUUGGACAUUAUUUGCUGCUUAAGUCCAAUAGAUUCUGAGUAGAUCAUGAAGUUUUACUAGCGUACACAAUAUUUGCAAUACUGCACCCAUAACUUUCCAUGGCUGUUUGUAACAAGUUGACCCUUUGUUUUUUUUAAUUAAUGGGCAGCCUUUCUGGAAAAGUGAAAUUGACCAGGUGUGUCUAUGGAGAUGCAUGUCAAAAAAAAGGUCACGAUGGUAGCACAACCGUGUGAUGGAAGCCUCGCCUCAUUUUAAUAUACAGCCAACUCGAGUUGAGUGCACUUCAGUUGAGAACUGGGCAAAAACCUCUUAGCAGGAAUGUACUUUCGAUAGCUACUCUAAAAUUGUUGAUGCCAGUGAAUUCUAUAUGACUUGUGUCAUAAAUUCUUUGGGCCAGAGCUCUCUCUCUAACUUAUUUCUUGCCUGAGCUCACACAAAUACAUAUCUACAUAUCUGAAAACACCAAGAAGUUAUUCCCCCUAGGUAAGGGGUCAGCAACCUGUGGCUCUGGAGCCGCAUGUGGCUCUUUCACCCCUCUGCUGUGGCUCCCUGUCACUCAAAAUAUGCGUCACAACCACCAAUGUGCGACACCCGCCGGCACGCGAUUUAUUGAGCUUUUCAAUCCCCGGUAGGCCAACCAUGGAUAAAUCCAAGAAAAGAAAAGUUUCAGAAGAAAACAGAACAUUUAAUUCAACUACAUAUGCUAGUUUUGUGGCUGCUCAAGAAAUAGUCAGGCACAGGAAGGGUUUUGUGGUUCCCGAUGUUUUCUUUUCUGUGGGAAACAGGUCUCUUUGAGUGUUUAAGGUUGCAGACCUCUGCCCUAGGUCAAGGGCUCAUGGCCAAGAUUAGUGCUAUCCACCAGUCCUUGAGCCAGUUGAAAAAUAUGUUGGCAUACAUUUUGCUUGUGGUCGAUCUAUAAGGAGUUCAGCAAACUAAGCUGCCUUUUAUUACUGCUGCCAAGUUAAGGAAGGGAUUAUGUCCGCCCCAUUAGGUAAAACUACUUUAUUGAGAUUGGCUAUAAUAGCAGAUUCUUGCAAGUCUGUGUCUUCUCCCCCUUUUUAUACUCCCCCAGUGAUUUAGGGAGGUGUCUGCCUGAGCCACUUCCAAAUGUUAUCUCUUUCUGGAUUUAAAAAAAAUAUUCUAUCCCCUUUUUCCUCAGUAAUUGUUUCUGCAUAUUUUUUGCAAAGGUCAUCUUCCUUACUCUCUAUAAUUGAUAAAUGUCCCCCAGUUUCAUUUCCCACUCGGCUUGAUUUGCCUGCUGAAAAACAACUACGAAUCACUCUUCUAAUAUGGGAAAGGGUGACUUUAACAGACGUUUGGAAUAGCCGAUUUAGUCACCUGCUAAAUUCUGAUUCACCAGUGACAGAACUAAGAGGGGGAUACCGAGUGAAGUAGAAGGAACUCUCCUUAUGCCCUGCUCUUUCAUCUCCUCCUCUAUACCUAACACUGACCAUCAGGUUAUAUCAAGAAACUGGUUUAGCCUUCCACUAAACCCAUGUUCAAAAUAAUUUUGGCUGACAAUAGAGGUUGCAGGCCAGAGCAGGAGGAAGUGAUUGAUAAUGAGCGAGUUCCACCUUGUUUAGUUCAGAAAAAGGAUACCGUGUUUCCCCGAAAAUAAGACAUGUCCGGCAGGGAUGAAAUCCCAAAUUUUUCCCUACCGGUUCUGUGGGUGUGGUUUGGUGGGCGUGGCAGGGGAAGGAUAUUGCAAAAUCUCCAUUCCCUCCCCACUCCAGGGGAAGGAUACUGUAAAAUCUCCAUUCCCUCCCCUCCUGGGGGAAGGAUAUUGCAAAAUCUCCAUUCCCACCCCACUCUGGGGCCACCCAGAGGUGGUAUUUGCCGGUUCUCCAAACUAGUCAAAAUUUCCGCUACCGGUUCUCCGAACUGCUUAAAAUUUCCGCUACCAGUUCUCCAGAACCUGUUAGAACCUGCUGGAUUUCACCCCUGAUGUCUGGAUAAUAAGCCCAAUUGACCUUUUGAGUGCACGUGCUAUAAUAAGCCCCCCCCCCGAAAAUAAGCCCCCCCAAAUACUUAGACGCAUGCGUAGUUGCGUCAGCGCAUGCGUCUAAGUAUUGCUCAGCACGAGGUGAGGUGAGCAGUGAAGCGUGCCAGAGCAUUUUCACAGCACUGAAGGAUGACUUCAAGCUGCCUUAUUUACGGGGUGUGUGUGAGACUGAUUUCUGCACUAGUGGCUAGGAGCAUUACCCAGCCGUCAUAUGAAGCGAUAUGAUUAUUGUUAUUUUUCUGAAAAGACAGAUAGAUGGCUAUAGAUCAGUGCCUGCAGUAUGCUGACUGGGAAAGUCUGGGAGUGGAAGUCCACACAUCUUAAAGUUGCCAAGGUUGAGGAACACUGCUCUGGAAGGAGCUAUAAAUUGCUAGGGCAGCAAUGUUAGGUAGAUAUGGAGGAAAAAAGUUGCUAAGAAGUGUUUGUGCUAUGCUUAGAGCCCAAAGACACUCUUAUUCAAGCUCCUCUCCCAGUAAAUACAUGGAUGGAACCCGUUCAAAAGCUCAUCAAGUGUGAUGCCCUUUAACUUUUUGAAAUCAGAAAAAGUUUGCUAGAAGCUGGUACCCUUGGUGACUUUAUGCCCUUAGGAAUCAGUAAAAAUCUAUAUUCACGGUCUGAUUUCAUAUGUUGCUUCCCCCCCCCGAAACAAACUAACUUGCAGACACUUCCCAUACAAGAUGUCAUACUGAGCAGCUGUUCAUUAUAGAUUAAAGCAAAAAAGCAAGGUCAAAUUAUUUCUCAGACCUGAUUGUACUUACAAAAUAUCUCCAGUUCAAAAUACAUUCAAGUCACGCAGUUGUAGAAAAGAGAGAAAUACGGUCUUAGAGAUCCCUAAUAUGCAAUAGAAAUGCUCCAGAUACAUAAACCCUUAAUAUUUAUGUCUGAUUUAAAUUCCUUUCACUACAGAAUCACAGAGGUGCUGAAACCUGUUUAUAUACGGUAAUUUUCAGCAAAUUCUCCAACUGUAUCUGUUAUCCACCAUAUUUUCCAAUCACUGUGCUUAUUGAGCAGCAUUAGCAAAAAUUGCCAGAAGUCAUUUUAUGAUGUUAUUGAAUCGUUUUAGGGCCUUGCCUUCAGGUCAUGGUUAUUAAAAAAUAAUACCAGAUGGAUAGUGCCUUAUCCAUAAUGACUAUGAAGCUCUUUUUAGGAUUUUCCCUGUUUUGUUUGGUAUGGGAACCAGUCUAACUCUUUUGUAUUUGAUAAAUUGGACCUAGUUAGAACUUAGGUAAGAGAUGACUAGGAAAUGACUAAACAAUUUUUUUUAAAAAAAGGAAGAAAAAUUUUGUUGUCAAGAAAACAAUGUAGCCUUGUCCAGGUGGCCAUCGGCUCAAUGUUAAUGUGACUUUAUCCACAAUAUGCUUAUUAUUAAUGCUCUGCAAAAGCAUUAUGUUCAAAAAAAUAAGUUAUGAAAAGGCAAAUGGUAAAUAGAUAUUGAAUGCCCAAACUCCACCUCCUGAUUUCCCCUAACUUUAUCCAAAUCAUGGAUAACUCUGGUCACCAAAGGUCAGGAGCUACGCUUCCUUCUUAAUAUCUGUCUGCUGUUUUUUGUUUCCCCUGCCACCACCACAAUUUGAACAAACUGGAGAGAAGGGCUUCUCUCUAUUUAUUUAUCUAUCAACAUGGUGACUAGAAAAGGUUUUCUUGAAUGAGUUUUAAAGAUCUAUAAUAAUUGGAAGAUACUAGAUGGCAACGUAUCAAUUGUUUGGAUCGAGGUUUGGGAGGAAAAAAACCCUCAUUGUGUACAAAAUCACCAGCUAAAGGUUAGAAAUGUAAGUUGAAGUGAAAGGGGUCUUGAAUAUCUCUAAAAAUACACUGUGUCCCCUUGAGGGAACUGAUGCUGUUUUAAAGACCAGAACUGUCUACCUACGUGCCGUGUUAUGUACAUUUAUAAAUAAAGUGCUAAUACAAAGUUA